GGAGACGUGGCCGAGUGGUCGAAGGCACGCCCCUGCUAAGGGCGCAGACCCGAAAGGGUCUCGAGGGUUCGAAUCCCUUCGUCUCCGCCA
rnacentral:tRNA from 3 species